rnacentral:rRNA from 1 species
CACUCCUACGGGAGGCAGCAGUGGGGAAUUUUGGACAAUGGGCGAAAGCCUGAUCCAGCAAUGCCGCGUGAGUGAAGAAGGCCUUCGGGUUGUAAAGCUCUUUUGUCAGGGAAGAAACGGUGAGAGCUAAUAUCUCUUGCUAAUGACGGUACCUGAAGAAUAAGCACCGGCUAACUACGUGCCAGCAGCCGCGGUAAUACGUAGGGUGCAAGCGUUAAUCGGAAUUACUGGGCGUAAAGCGUGCGCAGGCGGUUUUGUAAGUCUGAUGUGAAAUCCCCGGGCUCAACCUGGGAAUUGCAUUGGAGACUGCAAGGCUAGAAUCUGGCAGAGGGGGGUAGAAUUCCACGUGUAGCAGUGAAAUGCGUAGAUAUGUGGAGGAACACCGAUGGCGAAGGCAGCCCCCUGGGUCAAGAUUGACGCUCAUGCACGAAAGCGUGGGGAGCAAACAGGAUUAGAAACCCGAGUAGUCCC